AAGGUAGCAUAAUCAUUAGUUUUUUAAUUGAAAGCUGGUAUGAAAGGUUGGAUGAGAAAAUAACUGUCUCUGUUUAAAUUUAUUAGAAUUUUAUUUUUAAGUAAAAAAGCUUAAAUAAUUAUUGAAGACGAGAAGACCCUAUAGAGUUUUAUAAAUUUGAUUAUUGAAAAUUUUAGGAUUAUAAAAGUUAAUAAUUAAAUUUAUUUAGUUGGGGUGAUUGAAAAAUUAAUAAAACUUUUUUUGUAUAAGAACAUAGAUUUAUGAAUAAUUGAUCCUUUUAUUAAGAUUAGAAGAUUAAAUUAC
rnacentral:rRNA from 1 species